UUUGUAUGCUGCUGGCCUUCUCCACUCUUGUCAGUACACCGGAACAGGAACAGCUCAUGGUGAUGUGGCUGAGCUGGAUGAUAAAGGAAGAAGCUUACUUUGAAAGCAUUUCUGGUGUGUCUGCUUCCUUUGGAGAGAUGCUUCUCUUGGUAGCCAUGUAUUUCCACAGCAAUCAGCUCAGUGCUAUCAUUGAUUUGGUCUGCUCCACACUGGGAAUGAAGGUAAACCCUGAG